UACGGAGGGUGCAAACGUUGCUCGGAAUCAUUGGGCGUAAAGCGCACGUAGGCGGCCUGUUAAGUCGGGUGUGAAAGCCCUCGGCUCAACCGAGGAAGUGCAUUCGAAACUGGCAGGCUUGAGUAUGGAAGAGGGUCGCGGAAUUCCCGGUGUAGAGGUGAAAUUCGUAGAUAUCGGGAGGAACACCAGUGGCGAAGGCGGCGACCUGGGCCAAUACUGACGCUGAGAAGCGAAAGCAUGGGGGAGCGAACAGG
rnacentral:rRNA from 1 species